CCCUUAGAUGUUCUGGGCCGCACGCGCGCUACACUGAUGCAUUCAACGAGUCUAAAACCUGCUCUGAUAGGGGUGGGUAAUCUUUUGAAUGUGCAUCGUGAUUGGGAUAGAUGAUUGCAAUUUUUCAUCUUCAACGAGGAAUGCCUAGUAAACGCAAGUCAUCAGCUUGCAUUGAUUACGUCCCUGCCCUUUGUACACACCGCCCGUCGCUCCUACCGAUUGAGUGGUCCGGUGAAUAAUUCGGACUGAGGAUUUAGGCAGUUUCUGUCUUUAUCUUCGGGAAGUCUAGUGAACCUUAUCACUUAGAGGAAGGAGAAGUCGUAACA
rnacentral:rRNA from 1 species